rnacentral:rRNA from 1 species
UACGAAGGGGGCUAGCGUUGCUCGGAAUCACUGGGCGUAAAGGGUGCGUAGGCGGCUUCUUAAGUCAGGGGUGAAAUCCUGGAGCUCAACUCCAGAACUGCCUUUGAUACUGAGGAGCUUGAGUCCGGGAGAGGUGAGUGGAACUGCGAGUGUAGAGGUGAAAAUUCGUAGAUAUUCGCAAGAACACCAGUGGCGAAGGCGGCUCACUGGCCCGGUACUGACGCUGAGGUGCGAAAGCGUGGGAGCAAACAGG